rnacentral:rRNA from 1 species
GACGAACGCUGGCGGCGUGCCUAAUACAUGCAAGUAGAACGCUGAAGAGAGGAGCUUGCUCUUCUUGGAUGAGUUGCGAACGGGUGAGUAACGCGUAGGUAACCUGCCUGGUAGCGGGGGAUAACUAUUGGAAACGAUAGCUAAUACCGCAUAAAAUUGAUUAUUGCAUGAUAAUUAAUUGAAAGAUGCAACUGCAUCACUACCAGAUGGACCUGCGUUGUAUUAGCUAGUUGGUGAGGUAACGGCUCACCAAGGCGACGAUACAUAGCCGACCUGAGAGGGCGAUCGGCCACACUGGGACUGAGACACGGCCCAGACUCCUACGGGAGGCAGCAGUAGGGAAUCUUCGGCAAUGGGGGGAACCCUGACCGAGCAACGCCGCGUGAGUGAAGAAGGUUUUCGGAUCGUGAAGCUCUGUUGUAAGAGAAGAACGGGUGUGAGAGUGGAAAGUUCACACUGUGACGGUAUCUUACCAGAAAGGGACGGCUAACUACGUGCCAGCAGCCGCGGUAAUACGUAGGUCCCGAGCGUUGUCCGGAUUUAUUGGGCGUAAAGCGAGCGCAGGCGGUUAGAUAAGUCUGAAGUUAAAGGCUGUGGCUUAACCAUAGUAUGCUUUGGAAACUGUUUAACUUGAGUGCAGAAGGGGAGAGUGGAAUUCCAUGUGUAGCGGUGAAAUGCGUAGAUAUAUGGAGGAACACCGGUGGCGAAAGCGGCUCUCUGGUCUGUAACUGACGCUGAGGCUCGAAAGCGUGGGGAGCAAACAGG